rnacentral:lncRNA from 1 species
UCUGACCUUUUCUAGGUCAUCAGAACCAGUAACUCAGGCUUUACCUGACACCCACAGACGUUAUCUAUCUUAUGGUAGAGGAAAACCGAGAUUGAAAGUGACUCAGUCCCUCACAGAGGCCUGCAUUACCAUGUGUCCACACAGAAGCCUCCAUUGUUCUCUAGCAUAUCAUCCAAUGUCAUCUUGCAAGAAACUGAACAAGCAGGCGAAUUUGCCAUCUGUCUUCUUCCCACCCAUGUUACAAUUGGUGCUGAAGGUCUCUUCUGCUUCUGCUUAGAUGGAAGCCCACACGUUCCUUGGGAAGAGAAAGGUUAGGCACCCUUGCAUACCGGGUGCCUCCCCUCUGGGCUGUGCUCUGAGGCAUGAGAAGGCCACUGGCUGCUCUGGGAAAAUCCACCUGCGGGAAGGCUGUGAUUUCUCCAGCAGGAGCACGACAGUCAUGUACAGGGGUCCUGUCCCAGGGCCGCUGCCAGAGUCAAGGCCAGGACUGGAGAAGACUUUGCAGACCCUCUCCCUCUCCUGCUCUGUCUCUGGAAUCUCCUUCAUCAGCAGUUACUUUCGGGCCUGAAUCCGGCAGCCUCCAGGAAGGGGCUGGAGUGGAUGGGCUGCCUCGGCUCCAGUGGUGGCUCACGCCUCGCCUCAGCCCAUCCUUUCAGAGCCGACUCUCCAUCUUCAAAGACACAUUUGUGAACCUGCAGCUGAGCUCUGUGUCCACUGAGGACACAGCCUUGUAUUACUGUGCGAGACUCACAGAAACACACAGAGAGGGCAAGUCAGUGUGAGCCUAGACCCAAGCAUCCCUGCAGGGAGACUGGAGGGGCUGGGAUGCAGGGGAUGCUCAGGACCACAGAGUAUGGGGACCAGCUCGGGAGCAGGUGAAUGGUGGCACAUGUCCUCUGUUACUCUGGUCUGGGGCUUUCUUCUCUGUCCUCUCCCAAGGACUCACUGUCCUCACAUUGUCUUGCACCUUCUUUAACACCUUAGAGGAAGCUGGUUACUGCCUCUGCUCAAUUAUUUAAAAUAGUCAGAGGAGUCCUUACUACUUCCUUCAGUUUGUACUCCAGGAGACACUGCAACAUAUGUCACAAAUUGGGAGAGGCCUUGGGCAGUGACUGGAAGUAUGUAACUGCAGCACCAGGAACCAAUUACCUCAGGCAGUAGUGAAAAUGGGCCAGUCUUCUCUCGUCUGCCUCUGUUGAAUGAAACACACAAGUGCUUUAAUCCAGUGAUAUUAAACAAAUAAAUAGCCUUCUCUUCCCCA